AGUUCCUCGUCUAUUUUUUGUUUACUCCACUGAAAAAUGUUAGAUAACGAAAAUAAAAGUUUGAUUUAAUUAGCAGCUUUAAAUUAUUUUUGGGUUGUAUUCCGACAAAAACAACAUGGUCGUGAUAAAUCGACUCCAUAAAUAACCUCUUUUUAAUUAAUUAGCACCUUCGCUUUUAUUUCUUGUUCAAAGUCACAAGAUGUAUAAAAGCCAGGGAGUGACAAUUAGUCACCACAUGUGUUCGCCUAACAAAGAAAAUAUCAAUUCAGUGUUAGUUAGCGGCAAAUUUACAGAUACAAAUGAAUUUUUUUGUGAUUAUCACUGUCAUCAUAACUCUUCUGAGUGUUAUCAGCGUUUCACGGUCAAUGCCUUAUACCGCUUCAGAUAUUGAUGAAUAUAACCAGGAACACGAAGCCGACGAUUUACAUGUAGCUGAACAGUUAGUUUUUCGACCACUGUUUGCGUACAGAGCACUCAAAGAAAGAAGAGGCAGCCGACGAAGAAGUCGUUGAAAAUAAUUAGAUUUUUGUAUGUACUCGAUUAUUUAUUUUUAUAUAUGUAUAAGUACUUUCUAUGGAUAUCAUCAAAAAAAUCUGUAGAGGGGUUUUCUAUUUUUUACUUUUCUAUAAAAUUAUUCAAUGAUUUGUAAUGUUACUGUUGUAUAUAUACAUUUGUAAAUAUUUAUCUAAAAAUAAAAAAUAUUUUGUAUA